rnacentral:sRNA from 1 species
CCCAACGGAAAUACUCCUACUCCUUGGGCAGAUAUUGGUGUCUGAGAGAGAUGCCGCUUGCAGAAACGAAGUGUCUGGUCUCAACGCGCUCGCUCAAACGUGUUCGCGUUUCUACCAAAUCCUCAAUCCUUACCUUUACCGGUUCAAUGCACAUCAUCAGGACAGCUCCGCCCUUGUGUGGGCCACCCUGAGAGGGGACAGACGCACAGCAGAGCUUUCCUUAGACAAUGGCGCAGAUGUGAAUCUUAUUGUUCUCGAGCGCUCUGGGGUUUUGAGCAACACAAAGACUCGACAGCCUGGCUUCCAGAUGGGUCAUUUCGCUAGGUUAUCUCCUUUAGCCACAAAACCCACUCUGGUCAGCUCUGGCCUCCUAGCCCUCGUAUUUAAUCGACGGGCAACAAGAGCUCUCGCUUUUGGAUCUGCAGUAGGGGGAGAAAUCAUUCCGUGCCCCACGAUUCGAGCGAAGUACGACCAGGUUAUCGAAUUGUUGAUCGGUAGGGGAAUUGAUACCGAAAGAACAGAUGUUGGCAACGAACGACUAGAUUUCUUCCACAAAGGAAUGACACUUCUACAUCGAGCUGCCGGCAUGGCUGAUGAUACCGUGGUUCGACUGCUUAUCGAAGGGGGUGCCAAUAUACAUGCGAGGACCACGAAUUCACAACACACGCCACUACAUCUAGCAUCGAGAACUGAGGAGUUUGAUUUUGACACUGUGGAUGCUGUAAAUGCACACAGACAAGAUCGCAGAUCUAAAAAGCAACGGAUCGUACGGCUUUUGCUAGAGAACGGAGCUGACGUCAAUGCUAGAUGCUAUGAGGGUGAUACCUCACCUCUACAUUUUGCGGUCAAUUCCCCCGCAAUAACUCAAAUUCUACUUAAAUAUGGAGCCGAUCCCACUGCCAAGGAUAAACAUGGAAGAACACCGUUGCACCAGGCAGCUGUCGUUCCGCCAUACGGCCCUGACCAUUGUGAUAUGAAAUGGGUUGGUAGGAGCGCUUGGCGUCCCGAUAUGAAGACUGUGAUUAGGUUGCUAAUCGAAUGUGGAGCGGAUAUCGAGGCAACAGCUAAAACCGGAUUCACACCGCUACAUUAUGCUGCAAAAUUGGCACAGGUUGAUGCGGCACAGGUUCUUCUCGAAAGUGGCGCUAAUAUCGAGGCAACUGAUAAGGGAGAAGUGUGUAAUUCCCCCAUGUGGACGCCAUUGCGUCAUGCAAUCCAUGCCUACGUAGCAAAGGAUUGUCAAUUGACUCGUUCUCGGUCCUGUACUCUUGUCACCAUAUUGGCUAAAGCUGGAGCAAACGUCAAUGCGAAAGGGGGCGAUGGACUAACCCCACUCCACCACGCCGCGAUGUACGGUAUUAUAGAUAUUUUGCGCAUACUUGUGAGAUUUGGUGCGGAUGUUGAGGCGAGAGACUGUCAAGACACGACACCUCUGCAAUAUGCAAUCUAUGGGCGG